CAGUGUCAAUACGAAAUUUUAUUUUCAUUUCCAUUAAAACAAUACACAUUUACUGUUCUAUUACGAGUUAAUAAUUAUCGCAGCAAUUGCAAGCGAACUGUCAAGGUGAGAAGCAAAAGGCUGAUAUUGGAUAUUUUAGCUGUGAGAAAGUCUGAUAUGAGGAAGAAUUAGCUGCCAGUUCCAGCAUUAGAAGCUCCCUCCUGGUCACAUGGCAUAUAAUAUAUUUAACUACAACGAAACCAAAUAU